UGACUGACUGAGUGCCAGCCGCCGCGGUGAAUACGUUCCCGGGCCUUGUACACACCGCCCGUCACACCAUGGAAGUUUGUAACGCCCAAAGUCGGUGGCCUAACCAUUUGGAGGGAGCCGCCUAAGGCGGGACAGAUGACUGGGGUGAAGUCGUAACAAGGUAGCCUCAGUCAGUCAGGG
rnacentral:rRNA from 1 species